AGUUUCUUUUUGUGUUCUUUGUGGUUAUAAACGGGAUUGUUAUCUGUCUCUCCUUUUUAUGCUCCAUAUUUCAUACAGCUUUAAUGAAACCAAUCAAUGUUCUUAUCAUUUUCUUUCCUAAUUCGUGGAAUCGUGUGUAUUUCAUAUAACACAGCAUGCAGCUAUCAUGCAUAGUUUUGUGUGUUGAAUUGAUGAUAAUUGUGGAAUUAACAUACUAAAAUGUAGCUCUGAACAAGAAUGCAACUCUUUCAUCGACUGCAAAAGAUACAAGUGGUGUAAAGGUGGCUAGAUAUGCCGUGGACGGAGAUACAUAUACUGAGGCCAAGACAAUGGCUGACAACAACCCAACACUGAUAAUUAACUUAGAAGAAACAACUACAAUCAAAUACAUGGAGAUUCAUUUACUUUUAGAAGAAUCGAGUUCGUACAACGUCUUUGUGAUCAAUGCAUCUAGACGAGAGUGCACACAAAACACCCUUUGUUCCAACAUCGCAAACCCCCCAACAAUGUACCAUGUUUGGAAAAUCACAUGUACUAGAAAUCGUUCCCUGACUGGAAAUCAGGUCAUCAUUGAAAGACAGACGGAAAAGGGGGCGUUAUCCAUUUUCGAAGUUUUU